GGGGGACCUUCGGGCCUCUCGCGUCAGGAUAUGCCUAGGUGGGAUUAGCUAGUUGGUGAGGUAAGGGCUCACCAAGGCGACGAUCCCUAGCUGGUCUGAGAGGAUGAUCAGCCACACUGGAACUGAGACACGGUCCAGACUCCUACGGGAGGCAGCAGUGGGGAAUAUUGCACAAUGGGCGCAAGCCUGAUGCAGCCAUGCCGCGUGUGUGAAGAAGGCCUUCGGGUUGUAAAGCACUUUCAGUCGUGAGGAAGGUAGUGUAGUUAAUAGCUGCAUUAUUUGACGUUAGCGACAGAAGAAGCACCGGCUAACUCCGUGCCAGCAGCCGCGGUAAUACGGAGGGUGCGAGCGUUAAUCGGAAU
rnacentral:rRNA from 1 species